CAGUCGCCGCGGUAAUACGAAGGGGGCUAGCGUUGCUCGGAAUGACUGGGCGUAAAGGGCGCGUAGGCGGCGAUCAAAGUCAGGCGUGAAAUUCCUGGGCUCAACCUGGGGGCUGCGCUUGAUACUUGGUUGCUUGAGUGGGGAAGAGGGUCGUGGAAUUCCCAGUGUAGAGGUGAAAUUCGUAGAUAUUGGGAAGAACACCGGUGGCGAAGGCGGCGACCUGGUCCUUGACUGACGCUGAGGCGCGAAAGCGUGGGGGGCAAACAGGAUUAGAUACCCGCGUAGUCCCUGUCUCUUAUAA
rnacentral:rRNA from 1 species